rfam:Puccinia sorghi strain RO10H11247 Scaffold_4184, whole genome shotgun sequence.
GCGCUGUUGGUGUAGUGGUUAGCAUUGAAGCCUUCCAUUGGAAACAGCUUUAGUCCGGGGUUCGAAUCCCCGACAGCGCA